AAAAAUAAUUUAUUUAGUUUCUUUUCGCAGUAGAAAUGAGUCUUUGACCCGUUAGUGUCCUUCAGUCCUGCAACCACGCAGGAAAAUACUCAACACAUAUCCCCUCAGAGGAGGAGAGGCAGCCACGGAGGUCAGGUACAGUGGAGGGGACAAAGGAGGAGAGGCAGCCACGGAGGUCAGGUACGGUGGAGGAGAGGCAGCCACGGAGGUCAGGUACAGUGGAGGGGACAAAGGAGGAGAGGCAGCCACGGAGGUCAGGUACGAUGGAGGAGAGGCAGCCACGGAGGUCAGGUACAGUGGAGGGGACAAAGGAGGAGAGGCAGCCACGGAGGUCAGGUACAGUGGAGGAGAGGCAGCCACGGAGGUCAGGUACAGUGGAGGGGACAAAGGAGGAGAGGCAGCCACGGAGGUCAGGUACGGUGGAGGAGAGGCAGCCACGGAGGUCAGGUACAGUGGAGGGGACAAAGGAGGAGAGGCAGCCACGGAGGUCAGGUACAGUGGAGGAGAGGCAGCCACGGAGGUCAGGUACAGUGGAGGAGACAAAGGAGGAGAGGCAGCCACGGAGGUCAGGUACGGUGGAGGAGACAAAGGAGGAGAGGCAGCCACGGAGGUCAGGUACGGUGGAGAGGACAAUGGAGGAGAGGCAGCCACGGGCCUCUAGGGUAGGGAAAGGGGACAGGUUACAGUGUGACGCCGUUGAGGAGGUUUGGGAGCAUGAAGUUUCAUCUGAUGAAUUAGCAGCGUUCUAAGAUCCACAUACAGUUCCAGCACACAUCACUGUGCAACGGCGGCCA